AAAUUGAAGAGUUUGAUCAUGGCUCAGAUUGAACGCUGGCGGCAGGCCUAACACAUGCAAGUCGAACGGUAGCACAGAGAGCUUGCUCUCGGGUGACGAGUGGCGGACGGGUGAGUAAUGUCUGGGAAACUGCCUGAUGGAGGGGGAUAACUACUGGAAACGGUGGCUAAUACCGCAUAACGUCGCAAGACCAAAGAGGGGGACCUUCGGGCCUCUUGCCAUCAGAUGUGCCCAGAUGGGAUUAGCUAGUUGGUGAGGUAACGGCUCACCAAGGCGACGAUCCCUAGCUGGUCUGAGAGGAUGACCAGCCACACUGGAACUGAGACACGGUCCAGACUCCUACGGGAGGCAGCAGUGGGGAAUAUUGCACAAUGGGCGCAAGCCUGAUGCAGCCAUGCCGCGUGUAUGAAGAAGGCCUUCGGGUUGUAAAGUACUUUCAGCGGGGAGGAAGGUGUUGUGGUUAAUAACCACAGCAAUUGACGUUACCCGCAGAAGAAGCACCGGCUAACUCCGUGCCAGCAGCCGCGGUAAUACGGAGGGUGCAAGCGUUAAUCGGAAUUACUGGGCGUAAAGCGCACGCAGGCGGUCUGUCAAGUCGGAUGUGAAAU
rnacentral:rRNA from 1 species